UUGGAACAAAAAUGAUAACAUUACAUCACUCUAAGACUCAAGAUUAAGCCAAGCUCAUACAAGGAGCGAAAUACCAAGUUAUCACAACUCACGAACAUAUGUCCACAAUCAUCAUUAGACCAGCGGAAGAAAAUUAGGCCCGAGUACGGACAAGUUACAAUUAUUGCCUAAGAGGCUGAAACUGAAAAGGAGAGCCCCGCACAAGUUCACAGAACCCUGCUCUGGAAUCUUUUGGCUAAACGUCGAAGCUGUCAUCGUCGAACUCCACGAAGUAACCACUCACCUGCUCCUCUGGAAACUCUGGAGAAAACAACGUUGCAAAGCAACUGAGUACAAAGUACUCGCAAGACUUAUGGGAGAUCUAAACUAGCUAUGCAACAAGUCUCAAAGGAUGGUAAUAUGGUGGGGUUAUGCAGUAGCAAUAUAUCUGGAGAGACACUCUAAUAACAACGUCUAAUGAGAGGAAGAGAAGCGUCUACCAAGGUGUAAGGUCAUUAACCUAUUUACUAAACACCAAACAACACAAUCCUCAUAUCACCCCCUCAACACCCCUGUGAGGAAGCAAUCCAAAGAAAACUCACACUUAAGCAGUUUUAAGCAUAUCCAUGAUUAAGGCUAAUUACUACUCAAGUUUAUGAGAUUAAGUUGGUUAAGUUCUCUAUGAUCAAGUAAUGACCAACCAAGUCGUCCAUAACCGCAGACACGGCUUUCCGAAAGAUUUAUCCCUGCAUGGUGCACCAAUUUACCGUACACAUUCGACCAACCCACGAAUACCAAGUGUGCUCACACUCAAAUGUGCGCUGGCUGGAUUGAGCAACACGACGUUUUCAAGUUUCACAACUAAUCCAGGGGGACCACCCAACUGAGUCUAUCCGAAACGAGAGCCCGGCCGAAGCUUCGUACGGACUCAAGAGUUGCGGGAACAGCUGGUAGUGGUUCAGUGUCCGCAGAAUGACCACUCCAGACGUGUCCCGCAGUCCUAUAUGUAUGCAAAGUACCAACAAAUCUUCAAACACAACACCAGUGUAUAUGCGAUAUGCCAAAUAGAACGCCCGAACUAUGUGGCCCCUGGAAGAGGUAUGAAACGAGUACUAAGCCGAGGGGAACCCAUAUAUUCUCCCACGAGCGGUUAGCGCGAAGUUUCUUGGGUUGGCGAAAACGAGAACUCAGUCCUUAGGUCGGCGCCAAUGAAACAAAACACCAAUGCGUUAGCACGGCCUCCCAUCGUUGCCUUGUGCAGGUAAUAACCUGUCACUGAUUAAUAAUUGCAAUUAAAUACAGAAAGUAACAUGUGGAUGUAGCAAUUGUAUAACCCCAAGUAAGGACACUAGAUUAGCAAGCUAACCAAACUUCUAAUGACCAACUAGGGCAAUAACAAACAUGUGACAUGGUAAUAGGAUAAGGAACAAGACAACAGGCAUUUGAGUAGAGCUGACUAAAGCUAUGCAAUCCUAGAGGCAUCGUGACAAGAACUGAGAACGUAUCUUAAUGCAAGAACGAGAGAGAGGCAUUAGGUAUAAUCAACAUGUUCAAGGAUUGGCUGCUUGCCUGGAGUACUCAAUUGCCCGGAAUUGAGCAAGAAUCCUGGAAAAAGAACACAAGUGCAGUCGUCGUCGUAGGAAUCGAAGACUAGCGAGGAAGAAGCAAAUACACCACAUAAAAGGAAAGAAUAAGCAUACAAGAUACACAAGUUAAUUGAUAUGCGCAAUCAAAGAAUGACGCGUGGCAGAGGGAUGAUGCAUGUCAUAUUAAGGAAACCGAAAGUAAAUCCGAUUUACAAUUCACCAAGUUAAAUGGAGUCCGAAACAUCUACACAUAGCAUCUAUACAACUCCAUAUGCAAGGAAUAGAGUUAAUGGAUUAACUACACUCAACAAUGUGAUAGUUGUAUUAGCAUGCAUGACAAUGACAUGAAUAGGUGCGAUGCAUGCUUUAAAACAAGAACAACACAAGGAUCCGACUAGGUCGGGGUUGCACACACUAAUGGAAACAGGGUACCUGCAACUCUCGAUACUAUCGGUACAAUCACGGGCAUCUCAUACAACGCAUGCAUUUCAUAUAUUCGCAACCUACGAGUCUACGCCACGGAACGGUCACUCGUUAUACCUUGGACUCGUUGCGUUGUCGCGUGGUAGACGAAGUAGUCGACAUAGAGGAAGUAGUCGUACGGGUGAGGUAGUCGUACACGUGGUCGACGUAGUUCAAGUAGUUGUUCACAUAGGCGACGUAGUCAUUCAAUUCGUCGCGGUCGUAGUCGUUCAUGGCUCCGUCUUCGUGGUUCGUCGGUCUUCACGGCACCAAUCAAGGUUUUGGGCAGCAGC
rnacentral:lncRNA from 1 species